rnacentral:rRNA from 1 species
GACGAACGCUGGCGGCGCGCUUAACACAUGCAAGUCGAGCGAGAACCAGGCCUUCGGCCUGGGAAAGCGGCGAACGGGUGAGUAACACGUGGGUAACCCACCCUUGGUACCGGGAUAGCCCGAGGAAACUCGGAUUAAUACCGGAUGGCCCAACAGCUUUUCGGGGCGGUUGGAAAGGUAGCUUCGGCCUCCGACCAAGGACGGGCCCGCGGCGGAUUAGCUUGUUGGUGAGGUAACGGCUCACCAAGGCGACGAUCCGUAGCUGGCUGAGAGGACGAUCAGCCACACUGGGACUGAGACACGGCCCAGACUCCUACGGGAGGCAGCAGUGGGGAAUCUUGCGCAAU